GUUAGGAAUGCUCAUAUUUCAUGUGUACGCGCCCAAGAAGGGCGUGCUGUGGUCACUCACAAUAUGUUGGAAUCUGCAAAUUAUUGGUUUCACAUCCGUGUGCAAAGCUGCAACUCUCCCUCAUAAGAACGUGAGGACAAUGUUUCAGAGAAUCAUAGAAUUACAGAGCUUGAAGCUACCGUGCAUGGUGGAGGGAAGAAGUAUUUGGGAAUGAUAGAUGAGCACUGGGUCAGGAAUUACAGGAAUGGGGGUUAGAACUACCUGGGAGUUGUUGCCAGUCAACCUCCCCAAUCCCUCAAGCUUGUCUCUUCAGCCAGAAAAUGAAGCUAGGAACGGUACCAUAGAGACGGAAAAAGCAAAUGAAAUUGUCGUGUUUAAUAUGUUGUGCUAGAGGAACAAGAUAUUAUUAAUGAUCACCUAAUCUGAUCUCUCAUUUUAGAGUUGGGCAGAGGGAAGCCUAAGGAAAUGAAAUUCUUUCUAGUUUUAUUUAAGAGCAAGAAUAACUUACUCUUUCCCAUUACUGCAAGUUUUCUUGGAUGAUCUGUCACCCUCGACUCUAAUAAUGACCAGGAGCACGUCCGCAGGCUGGUCACCCUCCUCUCUCAGAGGGGGAUGCACACGCAGGGAUCUGCAGCUGGUAGUUCUUGCAGGAAUGUGGCCCCUGACCAUGGACCGCAGACUCCCCGGGACCCACAAGAGGUCAAGGCAGCUACCCUGUGCUUGGCAAACUGCUACAUGGGGUCUUUCGACUGUCAAGGAGUCUUCAAGGCUUCUCUGGGAGAAAAAGUGAAGCCCCCAAAGUUCCUCAUUUUAAAACCAGGCUUCUCUGCAGAUAUUUUGGUAUAUGCAAAAAGGGUUAAAGAUUUCUUUGAAAGUUUGAAAACUCUUUGAGUUAUGCUCUGAUUCCCUGAUUUAACACAUAGAGAACUAUGACUCAGAGAGGAAAAGACAUUUAUCUGAGGAAGCCCAGCUCACUUAUCCUCCCCAGACCACUUCUGCUAACUUCUAUACCAGCACACCCCCUCACCCCCCUGCCAAGCCAAAACUCUUCCCUUUCAGGCAUUAGUGAUUCCCAUUUGAUGGAUUUUCUCUGAAUGUCAAAAGCUGAAUUUUGUAUCUGUAUAGUUGAGAAAAAAGAAUUUUGGGACCCCAAAAUAAUUAUUUUGAAAGUACUUAUGUAACUACUUGGAGAGCAGGUCACUUAAAACAUGUGUCUACUUUAAAAAAAAAAAACAAGGUAAGAAUUUAAUAUGUCAUCAAUACUUCAAAUCCUGCCUUAAUUAAAAGUUAAAGUAAAAAGUGAGAGUGUAUGUUGCUCAGUGGUGUCUAACUCUAUGACUCCAUGGACUGUAGCCCACCAGGCUCCAAGUCCAUCAAAUUCUCCAGGAAAGAAUAUGAGAGUGGGUCAAGCCAAAUUAAUAUCAGCAAUAGUAGAAUUAUUUGCUAAGAUUACUGGUACAUAUGAAAUGGGCAUUUAUCAUGUGUUUCCUGUUAUAAUUUCUAGGGUUUUAAAGAAAUCAGGGGCCUGCGUAUUUGAACAUGAGGAUACUGUAAUGUAAACUUGAUAGGCCUGCGACAGCAAGCAUUCAUUUUCCCAGGGCUGGGAGGACAGAAGAAAGAGGACACCCUCCUGAGGAGGGUGGCAGGGUGACUUUGGGCGCUUUGUUGCUUGGAGAAAUUCAUCAGCAGAAACCAGUCCCCUGGUGGACCCAGGUCUGCUCCGAGCGUGCUGGGCUUGGCUCUCAGGAGAGUCUGCUCCGUGUCCCCGAGGAGAUGCUCCCUUCACUCUAACAUCUCCGAAUUCCCCAGGUGUCAACUGACUGGCUGUAUCCUUUACUCCAGGAUGGAGCAGUGUUUACCUCACUCCAAGUCCUGUAUCACCUCACCUCCUCAUGUGCUGAUCUUCACGAGGCUGAAGCUGAAGUUAGAGAUGUUCACCUAACUGUGAGCCUCACUGACGGGGCUUGUUUUCACAUUGGUUGCCGAACCGUCCAUGUGUUUUCUCAGUCACUCCUACGGCAGGAAUCCUUGAAAGAGGAGCAACCUGCUCAGGAGAAACUCUUCAUCGAAAGUGAGAGGAAGUGCACCCACUACAUCGUCUUCUGGAAAAGGGUCAAUAUUAUCAAAACCACCAAACAUACAUUUUGAAUGG
ensembl:lncRNA